UCCCUCGAGCCGGAUUUGAACCAGCGACCUAAGGAUCACCGUUGUAACAUCUACAGUCCUCCGCACUGUAAACCGAGCUAUCGAGGG
rnacentral:tRNA from 1 species